GAUUAUCUAUGGUCAUUUAAAUAGCAGCAAGUAUUGCAAGCAUCCAUUUGGGAGGCAGAAUUUAAAGUUGCAGUGGCUGGAGUCCCCAAGACAUGAUGCCCUUCUGAAGAACAUCACCAUGCUUCAUGCACAGAUCAUUCUGAAGCAUAAAGAAUUAAAAACGGCAAUGGAGUUGACAAGUCCCUUAAUACAGAUCCUAAGUAGGAUUUUCAAGUGGUGCAACAUCAUCAAGGAAUUUGGUCCAGCAUUCUGGCAAACAUUUGACUGAUUGAUGAGGCUCUUACCUAAGCUAGGCAUGGGAUUUUGUUAUUUCAGUGGCUGAAGCUUUUCAUGGCAUGGAAGCUGAUUUGGAUGCUUUACCCGGAAACAGAAUGGGACUGGAAGUUUAUGUGGGAGCUGCAUCUUCUCCUAAGCUACUUCUGCUGGCUCAUUUGUUUUGGCAUGCUCCCAUAACCAAUGAGCUGUGAGAGGACUACUUUCAACAAGGGGAUAAAAAAAAAAAAAAAAAAAUGACAUGAACAAGACUCAUAUUAACACAAAUUGGAUCCCGCCAGCCCCCUUCCCCCUCCUAAUCUGAAGGAUGGCAGCACCGAUGCCCCUGAAUUUUCUCACUUUUCUGAUGAGUUGAUGCACACACAAGGCUUAAUCAAGGAAUUGGCCGGCUCAAAUGUUUUAUAUUACAAUGUCAUACAACUACCUUUUUGGGGGGACAAUGUCAAUAUACAAUUACUAGAUGUAUGGCUGACUAGAAUUUAGAGAGCAAAACGUGCAUUUAUGUAUUG